AAAAACUUCCCUCUGGCAUCUAACUUAAAUCUCCUCUCUUUUAGUUUAAAGCUGUUCCUUCUUGUCCUGUUGUUAUCAGACCACAUAAUAAAUCAGUUUCCCUCCUGCUUUAUAAGCUCCUGUCAAGUACUGGAAGGCCACAAUGAGGUCUCCCCAAAGCCUUCUCUUCUCCAAGCUAAACAAGCCCAGAUCCCUCAACCUGUCUUCAUAGGACAGGUCCUCCAGCCCUCUAGAAAUGAAGAAUGAAAGACAGCUGUAGAAAGUGCUAUCUCUUAGCAAGUAGAAAAACACGGACUUCACUCUUUAGUAGAAAUAUACUCAUGGCUCUUAGGAACUGGUGAGGUGUGAAUGUGUACCAAGGCAGCAGGCCCCUUCAUUAACUGGACAGUAAGUGCUCUCAUGAAAUACACUAAACACAAGUAUAACUUAUCUUGCUCUUAUUCUCUGUUUACCUAGCUGCUGUCUGCAGAACAUUUUGCAUAGGGGUAUCUUGGUGAUGUCAGUAUUGGAGAAAAUAAUGCUUAUGUGUCAGCCGUAGAAGUACUGCUUUGGAGAUCUAAAUGUUGCUCCAUAUUCUCCCACAUUUUCAUCUUGAUGAUGAGUAGAGGAGAAAAAAUAGGCUUAUGAGAUUCUACAGAUGAGAAUCUGUCCAAUGAAGGGAGUAACUGGCCAUCAUAUUUUGCAAAAAUAGUCCAAAUUAAAUAUGAAAAACUUUUGAGUGCUUUCCUAUUUCCACACAAAAUUUGGGAGAUUGGUAUAUAGAAUUCAACUGAUAUGUACGUAAGAUCAUUCAUUCCUAAUAAUUAAAACCACAUCUUUUUCCUAGUUUUGUCAGGCAGUUAAAUUAAAUCAAUUUAUUUCCCUUCCCCUUUUUCUUCCUAUUUUUUAAAUGUUGGACUUCUAUAUUCAUAAAUAGCAACAGAUGUAAAGAAACAUUGGAAAAAGACUCCACAGCUCCACUUUAAAAACAACAUGUAAGUAAUGGCACAGACGCAUACAAGUAAGGAAAUAGAUAGCUACAGUGGAAAUGUGCCACAUGUCUCAGAACAAAUAACCACAACAGGGUGUCUCUUUUAUGACUUUCUUAAUGCACUGCAAUAUGCCUAGAUAUCAAAGGACAUAUGGUAUAUUUUCUCUUUAAUUGCAUAUUUGCUCUUGUGAGUUACUCACAACUUUAACAUUAUUUAGUUGUAAUUUAGAUGCAUAAAUCUAGAUCAUCACCAAGAGCUUCAAAUACAAAUACAUUUCAAUCAGAUCUUUCUUCCACUUCUGUUCUAAUUUUCAUCAAUGUAUUACCCUUUUUGUUUAUGAGUAUUCCUUAUUUCUUUUGAGAUAGAAGAACAUAGAGAAGGAUGAGCCCUUUUCUGAAAGAUUCUUUUUCCUCAUGCUUCCAAUUCAUACUUUUUAAUGGUAAGUAGUAGGUAAAGAUACAGGGCCCAAGUCCGGAGUCUGGAAAGUAGUAACAUUUUGUUCCUUGAGAAAGAAAGUGAAGGGAAUAAAGGUAGAGUGGAUUAAGUCUUCUCAGGACUGAGUCAAAAUUCCUCAUCACAACAGGAAUCAUGUUUCAGUUAGUUUCUGAGAAACAUGCAAUGUUUGCAACGAUCCACUCUUUGAACAAUUCUGAGGGUAAAAAAAAUUGUAAGCUAUCUCCAGUUUCUACCUAUGUUUUCUGGCAAUAUUGCCUGAAUUCCCAUACUCUGGGAAUUUCCAUAUUCUCUGGAAUAGAAAGGAAAGGUGAGAGAAGGAAUCAGCAGACAUUCCCUUCCAUGAGCAGGCCAAUGGAGAAUGCUGAAUCAUUGUUAUUUUUAAAUUUCAGAUUUCAUAACUGAUGUUUACUGAGAUAUUCACAAGACAAAGGACAGCAAAAAAUGUUAUGGUAGCUUUGUCUGCUUAGACUUGCUUGACUAAAGGUCUCAGUUGAGAAUGUUUCCUGAGAAUAAUUCCUGAGGUUAAUUUUUCUCAAAUAAAGCCUUUAACAUUUUGAUGACAGCACUAUGUUUUGUGCAUUUUGUGCACAAAACCACUCUCCUUACUAUACUAAGAUAGCUCUGGACCAUCUUCUAGUAGGAUGAUAGGUUGAAUUACAGUCUUUUUUUUUUUUAGAGCACAUCAGGGUGUUUCUGUGUGUGUUUUGUAACAUCAGCAAUACAAUCAGGUAACAGUUACAGCAAAUCCCAAGUAAGCAUUUUCUUUUGAUUGAUGAAGAUGGAAGAUAGCAGAAGGAGGAAUUACUGUUGUUGGUUUAGUGUUUCUUUACCAACUGAACUUGGUGUCACCUCGUGACUGUGGUGGGAUUUCCUACAUGCCCAGUCUCCAUGGGCAUUCAUGUUGCUGGAAAUGGAGCUGGCGUCUGUUUAAAUGGUUGAGUCUCAAAAAUGAUUUAGAUUCUAUUUGAUAAGCAGUAAUUUGUUAUCAAAAUACGGCAAUAUUAAUGUGAGGGUAAAUUAUGGUUUUUUUGCUUCCUAAAGGGGAUUGCACUAAUGGUAAAUUUGUCUUGAAUUAAUUCUUUCAGCUUCUUGUUUGAUACUUUAAAUUUUGCCAUUUGUAUUUUGCACUGGCUAUUGUAUAGAAUAUUAAUAAGAAGUAGCACCUGAAAUGCAAGCCUCUACAUUUUGAUAAAAAGUAGAUUACUCAAAUAGCAUUGCACUCUACAAUUAUAUUGGUGGCUCUGCCGUGUUCCAGUGGGGCAAUAACAAAAACCCAAAAAAUCAAUGCGAUGCUAAAUUUUUAUUCUAGUGUCUGUCAUUUUAGUCUGAAAAUAUAAAUAUUUAGAAUAAGGGCACUCACAUCAUGUUCAGUAGUUUGCACUAGUGGGAGUAAGUGCAGCAGCUGAAUAGAGAAAAUCUUUCUGUGUCCUGAUUUUAUUCUUCAAAAGGGAAUCUCCAGCUAGUAGGAAUGCAUGCUAUAAAUAAAGAAUAGCAGAACAUCUAAUCUAAGCCUCUUUGGAGCUGAAAAUUCUUCAAGAAUUCUUAGAUGUUAAUAUUUUAUUUUAGAACAUGGAAACAAAGUAUUAUAGUUCCUGAUUUUUUUCAUUUUUUGAGUGUCAAAAGCAAAGCAGAAAGCAGACUGUGCAGCUACAGGAUAGUACUUCUUCCUUGUCAUCGGAAUUCUAAUCAACCACUUGAUGAAGGAAUACAGAAAGAUAAUUAUAUCACGUGUAGUUUUCUUUCUCUGAAGAAAGACUGAUCUCAUGACCUAAUUAAGACCUCCCUCAUUUCUCUGUCAGUUUUUCCAGUACUGCCCAGGAUGCUCUUGUUCUUUGCCAAAAGGGCAUAUUGCUGACUCACACUAACCUUGUCCACCUAGAUCCCCACAUCCUUUCAUGCUGGGCUGCUUUCCAGCCAGUUGGCCCAUAGCAUGUACUGAUACAUGUAGUUAUUGAGGUGAAGUACUUUGCACUUCCCUGAGCUGAAUUUAAUGAGGCUCAUAUCUGACCAUUCUUGCCCUUCUUGAUGAUGGGUGCCUCCCAUCAGGCCCCAUGGACCUAUGUUGUUUAUUUUGUUUAAAUAUUCCCUAAUCUAAUCCUCUUCCACAAAGUUAUCCUUGCUCCAGAAUAUCCCACAUCUUUAAGAGUGGUGGUUUCUGAAAGCUGGUCUUAAAGACUGAGGCAGAGAACAUACUGAAUACUUCAGCUUUUAUGGUGUCCACUGUCACAAGGCCACUGCCCCACUCAGCACUGGGCUCACAUUUUCCCCAGUCUUCCUUUUGCUGCUGAUAAAUGCAUGAAGUCUUUCUUGUGUUCACAUCCCUCACCAGAUUCAACUCCAGAUUGUCUUUGGCUUUCCUAACUCAUUCCCUGCAUACUCAGACAGCAUGUAUAUUCUUCCAGGAUUCCUCCUCUGUCCUUGUUUCAACUGUUUUUAUAUUUGGGUUCUAUUAGGAAUUCCUUGUUUAUCUCUGCAGGCCUCCUGCUUGUCAAGGUGGACCAUUAUUGAGUGUAGAGGAGCUGAUCCUUGAAAAUUAGCCAUCUUUCACUGAUCCCUCCUCUCUCUAGGACCAUAUCCCAAGGGAGUCUUUCAAGUAGGUCCCUGAUCAAUCCAGAUUCUGCUCUCCUAAAAUCUCAGUUGUAAUCCUGCUUUUUGCUUUGUUCCAUCCUUCCAGGAUUCUAACAUCUCAUGGUCAAUGCAGCCCAAUCUGUCCAGGACUUUCCCAUCCCUGACAAAUCCUUCCUCAUUUGUAUGUGUGAGGUUCAGCUAAGUACCUCUUCUUGUUGGCUCUUUGAUCAUCUUUUUUAGAGAUUUGUCAUCAUUGUGCUCCCCAACCCUUUUGUGUGGCUUGUGCCUUGCAGUGUUGCACCACUAUCAGACAACAGGAGUGCUAAAGACCUCAGUGAAGAUCAGAGCAAAUGUGAGACUUCUACCAACUGUCUGAAGAAUAUGAUCAUAGAAUCACAGAACCAUAGAAUAUCCGGAGUUGGAUGGGACCGAACUCCUGGCUCCACACAUGACCACCCAAAAUUCAAAUCAUAUUUGUUCAUUGUCCAAACACCCCUUAAGCCCCAGCAGCUUGGGGCUGUGACCACUGCCCUGGGCAGCCUGAUCCAUGCCUACCGACAUCUGGUGAAGAAACUUUUCCUAACCCCUACCUGACCCUCUCCUGAUGCAGCUCCAUGUCGUGCCCUCAGGCCCUGUCACAAUCACCAGAGAGCAGAGCUCAGCACUGCCCCUCUGCUCCCCUGGUGAGGAGCUAAAAGCCACAACAUAGCCUCCACUCAGCCUCUUCUGCUUGGGGCCAAACAAACCCAUGGACCUCAGCCGUUCCUCAUACACCUUGCUCUCUAGAUCCUUCACCAUCUGUGUAGCCUUCCUUUGGACACUGUCUAAUAGUUUUAUAUCUUUCCUAUAUUGUGAUGCCUAAAACUGCACACAGUGCUCAAGGUGAGGCUGCAAUGGUGCAGAGUAGAGCACUGGUUCUACUUCUUCCUGAUUGAAUAUAGAACCCAGAACAAGUUCACCAGUGCUGUUCUGCACCACUUGUUGUCACUGAGGUGCUGUAUAAGAGAAAUGGCACCACUGGUUAUUAAUAGUGACAACACUGUCUCUAAUCUAGUUUUUGGACAAAUAUAAUUGAGUUGACUCCUUGUCCAUCCCAGGGCAGAGCUCCAUAUUCCAUUUCUGCUGUGGUCUCACGUAAACAGCAUUUGUUUUUGUUGUCUUAUUUCUGCUCAUUUUUUAUAUACUCUAUAUAUUGCUCUUUAAAUUAUAGAAGAAAAAUAGCAUUGCCAUUUAAAACUGUGUUCUUUAACUUUCUAUAUGUAAGAUUUCUCAAAGUAACCAUAUAUCUUAUCAGAAGCUAUUCAAGAUUAAUUAUUUUGGUAAAUAAAAAGCAUUAAAUUAUACAAAGAAAUACAAAUCAGGGAAUACAGUUUUAUUUGUCCAAAAAUAGAUUACAGAGAAAAUCUUGUCACUCUUAAUAACCAGCAGUGUAAUUUCUCUUAUACAGCACCUCAGUGACAACAAAACACAGCAAAGAAACAAUAUACUUAGAUUCCUGUAAAUAACAUCUGUGAGUAUUACUGUGCUUGAAACCAAUUUGGGAAAAUAUACACUAACUGAAAUCUUGUUGUAUUGAAUGUACAUUUAUUGUUCUCCACUUUUAAUGUCUGAUAUUCUUGCUGCUUGCUUGUUUUAUUUUUUUCUGUAUUCAGUAUUUUCAAGGAUAAAAUUAUUAUGACUGUUGAUUCAGUUGCAAGGUGAGCGUCUUCAACACUUCUUACAUCCACUGCAUAUACAUUUCACUCUUAGCUUGAAAUGAGAGAUACAGAAUAUUCAUAUUUUAUAAUAUUUUCGAAGAAACAAAGAUAUACUUAUGUUGAAGACAUAUAUUGUAUCAUUGUUUGUACCAUGGUAUUCGUCCUUCCAGAAGGGGCUCUGUUUCCCUUUGGCCCUAUUUCUGUAUUUCAUAUGUGCCUAGUAAUAUAGUCACCAGGACUAUGUAAGGCACAGGACUCACUGAAGGCUAAAUCUUGUUUCCUUUGAAAGCUUGCUCACUUAUAGCUUUCUGAAUAGUUCCAUCAUCAGUGGAAACAGAGUAGGUAUGUAUUUUCAAGAGCCAAAAAAGACUGAGAUAUUUUGAAAUGUUUCCUUUACCUUGUCCAAAUUUCUAACAUAGACUGUGCAGGAACAGGGAAUGGUUGUUUGGAAUAGUAAUGUCUCCAUUCUGUGUUACUGUACAGAUGCAUAUAUAUAAAAUAUGUAUUGGUUAGGCAAUAUUUUGCUCCUUCCAUGAAGAAAUUCUUCCUAACAUCUAAUCUAAACCUGCGUGGUGCAACUUGAGACUGUUUCCUCACAUCCCAGUGAGGAAAAAUUGUUUGGGUAUUGCCCUGGUGCAAGCUGUCCUCCUGCCUGCCCAGGAGGACUUUCCUGUGUGCUUGCAGGAGCAGGCCCACCAAAAAGUGCUGGGAAGGGUCAGCUCUAGGAAAAGCAGGUAGCACAUUCAAAUAGAUUUUGAGAAAGCAAAGAAAGGGACGCUUAUAUGCUAUUUCAAUCAUGCUUGAGACUUUCAGCUCAAAAUCCUAAGUUAGUCACUGAUCACUGUCAUUCAUUUAUUUUCUUCAGCCCAUUGACAAAGCACUGCUCAAAAUUUCCAGAAUGUAUAGAUUUAUAUCUUCUAAGAAAAAAAGUUCUAUGAGGGGAAAUACUAAGGUUCAAAUCAACCACUAAGAAAAACUUUAUGCUCUUUACCAACUUUAUCGCCUUAUCAGCUGUUGAGCUGUUGACUCUAGCAUCCUCUCCAUUAGUCCUUCUUAGAAAUUUUCAAAGCUACAGUCCUCAUGUUGGUAUUUUUUUUUCUAUGAACAUGAGUGGAAGGAGCUUUUCAUAAAUGUCUGCAGUACAUCACUGUCUACCUUCAAAACUGUUCCCUGCUGAAAUACCCGUGAAACCAGGGACUGCAUUUAAGUCACAAUUUGGCAUUAUUCUAUAGCACAGUAAACCUCACAGCUAGUUAUUCUCAAAAGCAAUUUUUUUCCUACAGCCACUCUGGACUCACUUGUGGCCACGUUCCCACUUUGUCUAUUGUGCCAUCACUGUUACUCAUCUGAUCUUGUAAUGAGAUGGUUAAAGAAACUAAAAUAUCAGAAAAACAAUUGCUUUUUUUAUAUGAGUAGUUUUAUGCCUGUUGUAUUUCAUGAACUGGGAGUAGAUGAGUUUCAGUGUCAAAGUAAGGGAAGACAAUUACUGGGGCAGAAGAAUUGAGCGAGUUGCCCUUCUUUGUCAGCAAUUUUAGAUCAGCUUAGCCAUGAUUGUAGCUAUAAACACAUAGUACACUGAGAAUACUGGUUAUCACAUUGAUCUGUGUUGUCUUGCUAUCUCCCUGCACCCGUGUGUCUGUAACCACCUCAUUUCCUUUAUCUUCUACUUUGCUUGUAAGUGUUUUGUUCUGGGGCUGCAUCUGUAUUGACUUAGUAAACCACAAGUUUUGCAACUUUGCAAGUUUUUGCUGUUAUGUUUACCACAAUGUAUCUUUUUUCCUUCCUAACAGAUGCCAGACAUUACUAUUUAUUGCUUGGUGAGGAUGACACAGCCUUCACAGAACUGAACUACUUCUUGAUAUUUCCCUCUCGUUUAUGAAACAUCUGCACCUUCUAUGAAGUAAUCCCUGUGAAUAUUUGCCUCCCCACAUAUUAUAUUUCUUCAGAUGAGGAUUGAAUCUAGGGAAGACAUGGAAACUCAGCAAACUGAUUAGCAAGCUGGAGCAUGCAUCUCAUCUCAAGCAUCAUGCUCAUGUUGUCACCUAAUGCUAGACUGGCGAUUUAUAGCACCAUAAACUGUCUCUUAAGGAUCCAGAAAGAGUUGAAUACAUCUCAUACAACAUUGCAACUCUUGCAGGCCAAUGUGAUGCAAAGUGGUAUAAAAGUUUUUGGAAGAGGAAAGCUCAAAAGGACACCAUCAAAGGUAGAAGUAAUUGUGCUGUGACAUUUGGUGGAAAACGACACUGAACUUCCUAUAAAAACAAGAAACCAGCUACUUACAGCUAUAUUUUCACUACUGACUUACUGACUUUAUUGUGUGACAAAAAGAGAAUACAUAACAUGCUGAGCUAUCUAGGACUUUACUGAGAUACUAAACAAACUCAUCAGUCUCAAAUGACAGAUUAUUUUUUUAGCUUGUAAUUAUUUCUGCUGUGUCUUGAAGAACUCCCACUCUAGACGUGAGACAUGAUAAACAAAAUAUUUUGACUGUUUAAGAGAAAUGCAUAUUGGCUAGUAAUGUGUCCUUGCAGCAAAGAAAGUAGUUUGGGCCAAGUACUGCUAACACCACUGGUGAGGCCACAUGUGGAAUGCUGAAUCCAGUUCUGGGCUCCCCACUACAAGAAAGAUGUGGACAUGAAUGUAGGCCACAGGAGUCCUGAAGGAUCUGGAGCAUCUAUCCUGUGAGAAGAAGUUUAGAAAGCUGAGGGUGGUCAGUAUGGAGAAGAGGAGGCUUGGGGGGAUUCUCAUCAGUGUGUAUAUAUGCUUGAACGGAGGGCAUAAAGAGGACAGAGGCCAGGCUCUAUUCAGCGAUGCCUAGUGACAGUACAAGAAUCAGUAGUCAGAAACUGGAGCACGGGAGGUUUGCUUUGAACACCUGAAAGCACUUCUGUGGGGAUGAUGGAGCACUGGCAAAGGUGCAGAGGCAGUGGAGUCUCCUCCUUGAAGAUCUUUGGAAGCUGCUGGGAUGUGGGCCUGAACACAGCGCUCUGGGUGGCCCUGCUUGAGCAGGAUCUCCAGAGAUCCCUUCCAAAUUCAGCCUGAAAUUCUGUGAUAGGAGUGGAGGAAAUAAAAAUAUCUUCAAAACUGUGUUAAUUGUUCCAGUUCUUUCCCAGCAACUCUCAGGUGUUCAUUUAGCUGUUUGAAAGACAGUCCCCAGGAGCAAAGGGUACAUCUGAAUUUUUACCCUGCCUAAACACAGGUACAUGGGGUCUCCUAUUAACUGUAUCUGGGCCUUCAGCUUGAGUAACAAAUUUCAACAAGUGUGCUUUGAGACGUGCUGUGCAUUUCAUCGUACAUUUGAUCCUAAAACAGUAUGCUAAGGGACUGUGACUUGGAUGUUUAGGAAAAUAGCAUAGAGAAAAAGGGUGGAGGAGCAAUAAUUAAAUGUUUUUCCAAAUAUGUAAAGAAAUUAAAUGCUUAAUUUGCUCUUCAUUAAUGUUUUUGACAUUAGACUAAUGUUUUAGUUUUCCCAUUUGCCUGAGGUUUAAAGUGAGAUCUCUGUCCCUUCAAGUAUAAAAAGCGGUGGAGGGUGAGGUGAAGACAAAUAGUAGAAAGAUUUAUUUUCCUUCCUCGUGAAAAUAACGAAGCAUUAAGACCAAAUGUUCUUUUUAUUUUUUCAAGUCCAGCUUAUUUGAAACAUUCAUGAGUCUAAAAGGAGAAAACAAGAUCACAGUUCAAAUUCAGAAAUUGGGCAUUUCCAUGGUUUUAUUAAUUAUGUGUUAAAGGUGAACCAAAUUCUGAAUUGCCAAUGGAAGGCGAGCAGAUCAGCUAAAAACCAUACACCUGCUUAAUGCAAGACAAUAUUCAAGUACAGGAAAGUGGAAGUUAAAUGAGUGCACCACACCACCAACAGUCUCCUGCAACUUAAUGCUUUUGAGGAAAACUUGGACACAAGCCUGCUUUUUGAAGAAGAAUUAAUCAUUUACCCUGAUAAAACUGAUUUGUUAUGUUCCCAAUCAGUAGUGGGUUUGGGGGGAGUUGGUUUUUGAUGUUGUUUGGUUGAUUUUUUGUUGUUGUUGUUGUUUGCUUUGUUUUCUUUUUUCACAUGGAGAACAUAAUUUUGUGCUGUAGGUUUAUUUUCCCAGCAAAGUUGGAAUAUUCACCAGAAUAUUAAUUCUUAAACUUUUUUUAAAUUAAAAUGUCUAGUAGCUGGCAUAACUACCGAUGUAAAAAAUAAUAAUAAUUCUUGACACAAUUAAACAUAGAUAAAUAGAUAUAGAUAAAUUUAAGAAAGUACCUUGUGGCAUGUAGUUACAAUCUGAAUUUAGGAUUGUUCAUGCUGUUUCCAUCUACAGCAAUAUAAUUCCAAUCUCUGCUUAAGGAUGUAGGAGAACACCAAUACAAUUUUGAUUUAUCUGCACCCGGAGUUCAGGUAUUAGCAGAGUAAUUUGUGUUACAGCUUUUGCUCAGCCUCAUCAGCACUAGGAUGCUCCUCAGUGAAAUGGCUACUGUUUUGCAGCAUAACACAAGACUACGCUUGCUGCACAGUGUUAAUGAUGGGAAGGAGACGUAGUCCCAUUUAGUCUCUCUGGUAACUCUUCUGUUGGUUGCAGGCAGUAUCUUAAUUUACCAUCAUCUGAUUCUCAUAUCAAAAUCAAGAAAAUCUGAUUCUGAUGGUUGGCAUCCUUUUUAAAUGCUUCACAAAUAUUUAGCAGCACUGUUUUUGCUAUGGAACAUAAAUGAAUAAACAGAUUACAGCACUGC